rnacentral:lncRNA from 1 species
GUCUUUGAAGGGUACAUUCCUGGGAGUCUCAGAUCCAACCUCCUUUCUCAGAGGGGAGUGGCUGACACGGAGAGAAGAAUCCACCUGACGCUGAAAUUAUUUUGAAAAAUUUUAAUGGAGGAACAAGAAUACUGGGUUUAAAGCAUGAAAUUUAUUGCUGGUUAGAGUUAGCAGCUUUCCUAGAUUGACUUUUUUUAAAAAAGUCAAAUUAAAUGCCCAAGAAUAAAAGACUCAAAUCUCAACUGUUCUUUUUAAAUAAUAUUCCCCAGCUGGACUCUGAAGAGAAGACCCUUCAAGGUCAGAUAUGGUUUCUAGGCCUCUGAGUGUACUAUAAACAAUAACACCAUAAAUCUGUACAGAUUAACUUGCAAAGCAUUUUCAAGCUAUUACUUCAUUCAGUCCUUUUGAUCUUAACUGAUAAAUGAGAACUCUUGUGUACAAGGCAAUUCAGUGACUUGCCUAGGUUUACACAGUAACCUGGACAGUGGUGGCACAGAUCUGGGAUUCGUCCAAAGCUCUUUCUGCUGCCCCAAACUGUCACCAUCCUGUGCUCCAUCAUCCCUGGCUAUUAGAAUGCAUGUAUCAGGAAGGAUUGAAAUUUGCCUCGUUAUGGUAGUAUAACCAGAGCCGGCUCAGUACUUGGUGUAUACUAAGUACUUAGUACAUCGUUGAAUAAAUUAAUUAAUCUAAAUUUGGUCUAGCCCAGAAAGAAACAGUGCCUCCCUGAAUGGUCUGGAUGAACCCAUUUUUAGAAAUUAAGCCUAAGUGGCUUUGUAGCUUAAGAAAUGAAAUAUUCUUUGUGGAAUUUUCUAAACUCCACAGGUGACUGAGGUAACUUGAAUGUUUUAAGAUGGGAU